AGAUACAUUUGAGACGUGCGCGCGUUUAGUCGUUACAUUUAAAUUCGAAAAAUUUUCACAAAAAAAAAAUAUAUUCUAAUAAAUAAAUUAAAAUAUUUAAUUUAUAUAAACUCAAAAAAAGUGAAAUAUUAUUUUGAAAAUAAUUCCACAUCAUUCAUGCAACGUCAAUUCCUCAACAAGAAAAA